rnacentral:lncRNA from 1 species
GCUGACUCUCUUUUUGGAUUUAGCCAGCCUGCACCCAGGUGAUUGAAAGCCUUAUUGCUCACACAAAGCCUGUUUGGUGGUCUCUUCACAUCGACGCUCAUGAAAUUUGGUGCCAAAACCGGGGAUUGGGGGACCUCCCUUAGGAGAUCAAUCCCUUAUCCUUCCUCCUGCUCUUUGCUCCAUGAGAAAGAUCCACCUAUGACCUCUGGUCCUCAGACCCACCAGCCCAAGGAACAUCUCACCAAUUUCAAAUCCGUAAUAUAAGAAGACAGGAAUGUCAGGCCUCUGAGCCCAAGCUAAGCCAUCAUAUCCCCUGUGACCUGCACGUACACAUCCAGAUGGCCGGUUCCUGCCUUAACUGAUGACAUUCCACCACAAAAGAAGUGAAAAUGGCCUGUUCCUGCCUUAACUGAUGACUUUGUCUUGUGAAAUUCCUUCUCCUGGAUCAUCCUGGCUCAAAAGCUCCCCUACUGAGCACCUUGUGACCCCCACACCUGCCCGCCAGAGAACAACCCCCCUUUGACUGUAAUUUUCCUUUACCUACCCAAAUCCUAUAAAAUGGCCCCACCCCUUUCUCCCUUCACUGACUCUCUUUUUGGAUUCAGCCACCCUGCACCCAGUCCUGAGGAAGAUUGACAUUUGCCACACCUGCAUAAAGAACCCACUUGGUGAAAACCCAAGUUUUCUUGGAGUCUGCUGCUGUGAGACACGAGGAAAAAACAGUACAUGUGUACACGGUAGAUCUGGAAGGGAAAGCAGAAAGUAUCCAACACUUCUUGCAUGAAGAAAACAAAAUAAUUGGAGUCUAUUCCUCUCCACCUCGCAUCUGGGAUGUAACUUGAUGGACAAAUGGAAUGGGUGAAAGUGACAUCCUGGUACUCCUAAGGCUGGAUUAGAAGAAUCCUUUCAUCUUUCUCCUGGACCUACUGGAGUAUUUUCUCUAGGAAAAGCAAAUUAAUGUAUAAGAAGUCCAACUACCCUGAAACUGCCAUGUGAUGAGACAUACAAGCUAUAGGACAAACCAGGAAUAUUAAG